rnacentral:rRNA from 1 species
GACGAACGCUGGCGGCGUGCUUAACACAUGCAAGUCGAACGGAAAGGCCCUGCUUUUGUGGGGUGCUCGAGUGGCGAACGGGUGAGUAACACGUGAGAACCUGCCCUUGACUUUUGGAUAACUUCAGGAAACUGGGGCUAAUACCGGAUAGGAGCUCCUGCUGCAUGGUGGGGGUUGGAAAGUUUCGGCGGUUGGGGAUGGACUCGCGGCUUAUCAGCUUGUUGGUGGGGUAGUGGCUUACCAAGGCUUUGCCGGGUAGCCGGCCUGAGAGGGGGAACGGCCACAUUGGGACUGAGAUACGGCCCAGACUCCUACGGGAGGCAGCAGGGGGGAGUAUUGCACAAUGGGCGGAAGCCUGAUGCAGCAACGCCGCGUGCGGGAUGACGGCCUUCGGGUUGUAAACCGCUUUCGCCUGUGACGAAGCGUGAGUGACGGUAAUGGGUAAAGAAGCACCGGCUAACUACGUG